CUGUGUGUUGUUGGGUAGGGGAGCGUUCUGUAAGCCUGUGAAGGUGUGUCGUGAGGCAUGCUGGAGGUAUCAGAAGUGCGAAUGCUGACAUAAGUAACGAUAAAGCGGGUGAAAAGCCCGCUCGCCGGAAGACCAAGGGUUCCUGUCCAACGUUAAUCGGGGCAGGGUGAGUCGACCCCUAAGGCGAGGCCGAAAGGCGUAGUCGAUGGGAAACGGGUUAAUAUUCCCGUACUUGGUGUUACUGCGAAGGGGGGACGGAGAAGGCUAUGUUGGCCGGGCGACGGUUGUCCCGGUUUAAGCGUGUAGGUGUGUGUUCCAGGUAAAUCCGGUUCACUUUAACACUGAGGCGUGAUGACGAGGCACUACGGUGCUGAAGCAACAAAUGCCCUGCUUCCAGGAAAAGCCUCUAAGCAUCAGGUAACAUCAAAUCGUACCCCAAACCGACACAGGUGGUCAGGUAGAGAAUACCAAGGCGCUUGAGAGAACUCGGGUGAAGGAACUAGGCAAAAUGGUGCCGUAACUUCGGGAGAAGGCACGCUGACACGUAGGUGAAGUGAUUUACUCAUGGAGCUGAAGUCAGUCGAAGAUACCAGCUGGCUGCAACUGUUUAUUAAAAACACAGCACUGUGCAAACACGAAAGUGGACGUAUACGGUGUGACGCCUGCCCGGUGC
rnacentral:rRNA from 1 species